rnacentral:rRNA from 1 species
AUUUUAUACCGAAAAGUUUGAUUUUUAUUCAAUUAGUUUAGUCUAUACCAACGGGUAGUGUAAAAAAUUGGUGUAACGUUGUGAUAAAUUAGUCGGUUUCUUUUAUAUCUGUUUAUUAAUGUAGUUUUCUUUUUAUCUAUAAGGCAGUGAGGUCUUAUAGAUAUAUAUAUACUUUAUUAUAUUUUUGUAUAACAGGGUUAAAAUUCCCCUUUUAUUGAAGGUUUGUUAUAAAUUAUUUUAUAAAGAUUAGUAUUAUAAUUAUGCAUUAAUUAUUAUUAAUAAUUUGUUUUAUAUAUAAUAUAAUUAGUAAUUAGAUAAAUUUUAUUGUUUCUCAAGCAUAUUCCGUCUGUUUAUUAAAAACAUUUCUAUAUUUAAUAAUUUAUAGUAGGACCUGCUCGAUGUUUAAUUAUAAAUGGCCGCAGUAUUUUGACUGUGCGAAGGUAGCAUAAUUAAUUGCCCUUUAAUUGGGGGCUUGUUUGAAUGGUUUGACGAGGUUAUUGUGAACAUUAAAUUUGUUUUUGAAAUUAAUUAUGAGGGCACAGAAUCCUCUCAUUUUAAUUAGACGGAAAGACCCCGGGAUCUUCAAAUUUUGCUUGGGGCAAGUUGGAUUUUUUCAAUAUUUAUAUUAUGAUCCCAUUACUUAGGUUUAGUGAUUUAAGUUACCCCGGGGAUAACAGUGUAAUAAUCUAUUAGAGAUCAUAUCGAUUAGAUUGUUUGCCACCUCGAUGUUGACUUAGGUUUAUAAUAAGGCGCAGUAGUUUUAUUAUGUGGUCUGUUCGACCUUAAUUACCUCCA